rnacentral:rRNA from 1 species
UGCCAGACUCCUACGGGAGGCAGCAGUGGGGAAUAUUGCACAAUGGGGGAAACCCUGAUGCAGCGACGCCGCGUGAGCGAUGAAGUAUUUCGGUAUGUAAAGCUCUAUCAGCAGGGAAGAAAAUGACGGUACCUGACUAAGAAGCCCCGGCUAACUACGUGCCAGCAGCCGCGGUAAUACGUAGGGGGCAAGCGUUAUCCGGAUUUACUGGGUGUAAAGGGAGCGUAGACGGCUGUGCAAGCCAGAUGUGAAAGCCCGGGGCUCAACCCCGGGACUGCAUUUGGAACUGUGUGGCUGGAGUGUCGGAGAGGCAGGCGGAAUUCCUAGUGUAGUGGUGAAAUGCGUAGAUAUUAGGAGGAACACCAGUGGCGAAGGCGGCCUGCUGGACGAUGACUGACGUUGAGGCUCGAAAGCGUGGGGAGCAAACAGGAUUAGAUACCCUAGUAA